rnacentral:rRNA from 1 species
AAUCAACGCUGGCGGCGUGCCUCAGACAUGCAAGUCGAACGAUUAAAGCUCUCUUCGGAGAGUGUAUAGAGUGGCGCACGGGUGAGUAACACGUAAGUAAUCUACCUUUGAGUGGGGAAUAACAAUCGGAAACGAUUGCUAAUACCGCAUAAUGCAGCGGCAUCGCAAGAUGACAGUUGUUAAAGGAGCAAUCCGCUUAAAGAGGAGCUUGCGGUAGAUAGCUAGUUGGUAAGGUAAUGGCUUACCAAGGCUACGAUCUGUAACCGGUCUAAGAGGACGGUCGGUCACACUGACACUGAAUAACGGGUCAGACUCCUACGGGAGGCAGCAGUCGGGAAUUUUGGGCAAUGGGCGAAAGCCUGACCCAGCAACGCCGCGUGAAGGAUGAAGUAUUU